CUGCGAAGCACCCCCCGCCUCCCAGGCCGCCCGGUGCUUCCGGCGCCGCCCCAGUUUUCUCUAACUGCUGCAAACACCGGGCGCGGGCGGGGUGGUCUGCGCGACGAAGGGAAAUGACCUUCAAGGUCAGAAGCAAACCUUGGUUUCGACCCUCAGCUGGCCACUGCAUCGGAGUCGCUGUCGCUAGUGCCUUACACGGCUAAUUACCAGUUGGGCUGUUUUUGGCUGCAAAUAACAGAAGACUUAAAAUGGCUUAAACAAUAAGGUUUUUUAUUGUUCCACAUAACAAGAAGCCUCCAAGUAUUACCAUGUCAUCAAGUAUCCAGGCUUUGGGUUGCUACAGCUGUAGGCAUCGUGUCUGCAUGAAACCAUGUUCAAAUGGGGGAAGCGCCCCUGUCAACCCAGCAGCGGUUCCAACUCUCCCUCUGAUGUGUAUGCUAGUAUUUAAAACCAAAUAAGACUUUCGGAACUUGUACUUUGAUUUGUGUAAAUUAUCAGUGCUCCACAAAAACCCGUGGGGACUCCAGAGAACCCGGUGGCUUUUCUUUGUCAUCGAAAGGCUUCCUCUACUUUCAGUAGCAGACUGUGGCUGUGUCCGGACUGGAUCUUUUCCAUCAGCACCCCGCCUUCUCGAGCUAUCUGUGGUGCUCCCUCUCUGCCUGCUUUCCCUGUGCUCCGCAUGUCACCGCGUUGCCUUUAGAAGAACGGCCUUCCACCUGACUUGGCAUCCUUCCUUUGACCUUCAGCCUCUGGUUUCACCUCAGACACAAGGUUGAAAUGUUCAUUUGUCCUUAGACACGGCUGACUUUCUCAAUCUCUGGAUCUCUACGUGGCCACGGUGUAAGGCGCUCGGAAGAGAAAUCCCAAGACUGCACUAGAGGAAGAGCGUCUCCUACCCCCUGUGUUCUCCAGGUUUUUGAGUGUCUUUUUGAUAAAGCCUCAUUUCAAUUCCCCUUUUCCUGCCUCCUCUGCUCACUUUCGUCCAUUUCUUUUGAUCCUGGUUUCCUAUGCUGGGAUCACAGUGCAGUGGCUGGCUAAGGAGGCUUAGGCAAUGAGAAAGUGUUGUAUCUCCUCAAGGUGUUCCCCACGGUGGGUAAUGAGAGAAACGGUCACCGUCCUUCUGAGUCAUCUGGACGUGGCUACAAUCACACUUACAAUUCUACUAUUGCUACACUAUUUGGAGCCUGGAAAAUUUCCCCACAUGUGUUGUUACGACAUUACAGUUAACUCCUGCAAGGUCUCCCAAUUAAUAGGGGACACUUGUGAUCCAUUAAACAUAACCAAGAUAUCCACUGCUAUUUGAAAAAAUUGGUAAUUGGGGGUCUUAUCUAAUCUAUCACAAUUUGGAGCCUAACUUGUUUCAUGUUUCUCCUUUUGCAUGUGCUGAUGCAUGUACCAUUUGCUGGCCAUCGUGCCCCCCCUGGAGCCAUACUGCAAGCCCCUGGACCGACUCCUGGAUUGAUUCCAACUGCCUCAUAGCCCACCGCCCCAUUUCAGCAGGAAGCAGCCAGAGUGGUCAUGCUCUGGUCCUUGAAGGCAGUCCGUACUAUUCCAGGGGGAGGGAGGAGGGAGGAUCAGGUGGGGCUAGGCAGGGAGAGAUAGAAAGGGGGCUAUGUGAUCAGGCUCACAGAAAUCCCAAAAAAGUGGAGGUGUGGGGAAACCACAGGGAAGAGGACCAACCGGACCACCCUACCCUAAGGGUGUGAGGACCCAUACCUUGGAGCUGGAGUGAAAUCAAGGAGAGGAGCCUACAGUUUGUAAACUACAGAUCAGAGGCUUCGUCUACUAGACCUGAGCCCUUACUCCUGUCUCCAUCAUGCCUCCCCACCCCCACUCCUGGCUUAAAAGAUAAUGGUUCUAAACAGUAUGGAGAUUCCUCAAGAAAUUAAA